UACGAAGGGGGCUAGCGUUGUUCGGAAUUACUGGGCGUAAAGCGCGCGUAGGCGGACGUUUAAGUCAGGGGUGAAAUGCCGGGGCUCAACCUCGGAACUGCCUUUGAUACUGGACGUCUGGAGUUCGGGAGAGGUGAGUGGAAUUCCGAGUGUAGAGGUGAAAUUCGUAGAUAUUCGGAGGAACACCAGAAGCGAAGGCGGCUCACUGGCCCGAUACUGACGCUGAGGCGCGAAAGCGUGGGGAGCAAACAGG
rnacentral:rRNA from 1 species